rnacentral:rRNA from 1 species
CAGUCGCCACGGUAAUACGAAGGGUGCAAGCGUUAAUCGGAAUUACUGGGCGUAAAGCGUGCGUAGGCGGUGAGUUAAGUCUGCUGUGAAAUCCCCGGGCUCAACCUGGGAAUGGCAGUGGAUACUGGCAAGCUAGAGUGUGUCAGAGGAUGGUGGAAUUCCCGGUGUAGCGGUGAAAUGCGUAGAGAUCGGGAGGAACAUCAGUGGCGAAGGCGGCCAUCUGGGACAACACUGACGCUGAGGCACGAAAGCGUGGGGAGCAAACAGGAUUAGAUACCCCAGUAGUCCCUGUCUCUUAUAC